AGCUCCAAUAGCGUAUAUUAAUGUUGUUGCAGUUAAAAAGCUCGUAGUUGGAUUUCAGAUUGGAGCACGCGGUCGGUUCCGCAAGGGAUUGCACUAGUGUGUCUCCGGUCCUUUUCGAGGGGAGCGUGUCUGGCAUUGAGUUGUCGGGCAUGUGACGCUCGUCGUUUACUGUGAACAAAUUAGAGUGUUCAAAGCAGGCUUAGGCCGUUGAAUACAUUAGCAUGGAAUAAUGAGAUAAGACUCUGGUGGUCUAUUUUGUUGGUUUGCACACCGGUGUAAUGGUUAAUAGGGGCAGUUGGGGGUAUUCGUAUUCAGUUGUCAGAGGUGAAAUUCUUGGAUUUACGGAAGACGAACUACUGCGAAAGCAUUUACCAAGGAUGUUUUCA
rnacentral:rRNA from 1 species